GACAGAGGGUGCAAACGUUGCUCGGAAUUACUGGGCGUAAAGGGCGUGUAGGCGGGAAGGCAAGUCGGGCGUGAAAGCCCCAGGCUCAACCUGGGAACUGCACUCGAAACUGCCUUUCUUGAGUGCCGGAGAGGAAAGCGGAAUUCCUGGUGUAGAGGUGAAAUUCGUAGAUAUCAGGAGGAACACCAGUGGCGAAGGCGGCUUUCUGGACGGUAACUGACGCUGAGACGCGAAAGCGUGGGGAGCAAACAGGAUUGAGAU
rnacentral:rRNA from 1 species